rnacentral:rRNA from 1 species
UACGCAGGCGGAAAAUUAAGUCAGUAGUGAAAUCCUGCAGCUUAACUGUAGAACUGUUAUUGAUACUGGUUUUCUUGAAUGUAGUUGAGGUAGGCGGAAUGUGUAAUGUAGCGGUGAAAUGCUUAGAUAUUACACAGAACACCGAUUGCGAAGGCAGCUUACUAAACUAUGAUUGACGCUGAGGUACGAAAGCGUGGGGAGCGAACAGGAUUAGAUACCCUGGUAGUC